rnacentral:SRP_RNA from 1 species
GCUGGGCAUGGUGGUGGGUGCCUGUAAUCCCAUCUCCUUGGGAGGCUGAGGCAGGAGAAUUGCUUGAACCCAGGAGGCGGAGGUUGCAGUGAGCUGAGAUUGUGCCACUGCACUCCAGCCUGGGCAACAGAGCGAGACUCUGUCUCAA